AUUUUCUUAGUACAAUUAAUACAAAUGGCUUCCAACCAUUAAAUCUUGGUUUAAACCCAAGAGAGAAUA
rnacentral:tRNA from 1 species